ACAGUGGUCAAAUAAAUUAUGUUUUUCUAUUAGUUCCAUUGUCCUAACAGUUCGGACACUUCUGGAUGGCAUAGACAACAGAGGGGAGAAUGUGGUAAUCGGAACCACCAACAGACUAGGUUCUAUAGAUCCUGCUUUACAGAGACCAGGACACUUUGACAGAGAGUUCCUCUUCAACUUGCCAAAUAAAGAGAUUCUUGGACACUUCAGAUGACUCCUACUGGACAUUCUCAGGUAGACCAGCAACAGGAGCUCUUGUGACCAGGCCAAUUGCAAAUGAAGUCAGUUGUUAACCAAUGCCAACGAAAACAAUGACGUGGAAGGACAUAGAGAUUGUGAAGUACUGAACCUAGAAUGCAGUGUGACUGUUUAGUGUCCACACCUGGUGUAGAUUUCUGUAGGCUACCGUUUGCUUUUGGUCAGCUGUAGUUUAGGAGACAGAUGCUUUGCCUAAUGUUGAAAGUAAAAGGCCUUGUUGAAUUUUCAAAUAGCGCACUGACGACCUGCUAGUACUAUUGGUUAUGAAUGUUGUUUUAACAAUUGGUAUGAUGGGUUUGAGGGCUUUUAUUUGGGGCUUUUUUUAAUUUAUUUUUUUGCACGCUUUGAUGUAUUAGGAACAGGAAAAGGAUCUUUAUUUCUUGCAGUGAUGAUUUUAAACCUGAAGUUAGCAGGUUGACAUAAAGUAGCUAGCCACGGUUAAGCGACUACGGAAAUUGCUUCAAAAUGCAGUAUUAGAAUUUCCCAUGCAUGCUAUUGCAGUGUAAUAAGGGUUUGCCAAUCGCCCACGGGAGGGACGUGGUUAUCCUAGGCUCCAGCAGGGGAAAUGGGUAAGAGUGGCCCUAGGUACGUGAGGAAAAAUGUUCCUUUGCAUGAGUUGGAGAGGGCAGAAGUAAGGACCAUGUUGCGGGGAGAGCAGAAUGAGGGAAAUUAGCAAUUAGAAUGAGGAAAUGAGAACUGGGGAAAAUUGCUAGGAGUCGUGGAGGUUGGCCCAAAGCAGAUAAGGGCUGCUGUGUGUGUGCUGCAUGAAUCCUGAGUGGGGGGAAUAUGAGCAGCUAAGAAUCCCCUUUGGUAAAGGGGCUUGUCACCACUACUUUAGUCACAUCCUUAAGCUGUGACCUCAUUUGUAGAGGCGCUACUAACUUUUUAAAGCUGUCUUCCUAAGGAAGCAGAUAGCAGGUUUCUCUGUUGUUCAUGUCUGCCCGUAUAUCCGGGAAAGCCGUAGAGGUUUUUCAGAGAGUCA